GACCUCCCUAGUGUAGUGGUAAGCGCUAUGGUCUUAUUAGUGGGAGGUCCUGGGUUCGGUUCCCGGCAGGAGUUUAGAAUCUUAUUAUUUCUAAAUUU